AAGCAAGACAAGCAUUUGUGUAAGUUUAUCGAUAGCCUAGCAUAGCAUUAUGCAAAGCUCAUGUUGGUCACGAAAAUCAGAAAAGCAAUCAAAUUAUCCAGAAGGUAUUUAAAUGCUAAUAACCAGACUUUUUUCCAACAGAUAUUAUUGGCAAAUGUAUUCCAGUAAGUUGUGACAUAAGGAAUGGAUACAAUCUCCCUUUGAAAUGAAGCAGGUAUAGAUCUGUUGUUCUGAGGGAGCAAGGAGAGAAACAGUUUCCCUAUUGGAGAGUCAACUGGAUUAAGCGAAGUGUCAACUUGAAUUAGAGUGGCUGUGGAAGACUGGUCCCUUGAUGAUAUCUGCAAGUGUCUGAGAACCAAUGAUCUCCAUGAUUCCAUCCCAUCAUUCCAAGGUUCACAGUCUUUCUGAAGAAUGCCAACUGUAUUCAAUUGUCCACUUUGCAACAAGCAAACAUUCUCGUCCAGACUACUCACACAUAUUGGCCUCUAUCACCAGCAUGAACCACAUGUUCUAACUACCUGUGGAGUUAAUGGGUGUGGGAAAACAAAUAGAUGUUUCAGCUUCUAUCGGUCACACAUCUACCAAAACCACACAGAGCUUUUAAGUGCCAACUUAGAUGAGAAUUGCCCUCAUGAUGAAUUUGAGACUGGGACUGAUCCCAUUGAAGAUGACAUGAGCGAUGUAGAGAGUCUGCCAGAGGCUGAAUAUGUUCAAGACACAGAGAUCAACACUGAGCAGCUAAUUGAACGUCUCUAAAACAAUAUCUGUCUUGUUAUUUAGUAAACCAGGAAAGAACACUGCAUCCCAGCUACGGUACAGAAUAACAUUGUUGAGGACCUCAGAACCAUGUUGAUGCAUUAUGACCCACUACAGUCCCCUCAGGUUUCAUCUGACAAAUAAACUAAUACAUGUGGUUGAACAGGA